GGGGAAUAUUGGUCAAUGGGCGAGAGCCUGAACCAGCCAAGUAGCGUGAAGGAUGACUGCCCUAUGGGUUGUAAACUUCUUUUAUAAAGGAAUAAAGUCGGGUAUGGAUACCCGUUUGCAUGUACUUUAUGAAUAAGGAUCGGCUAACUCCGUGCCAGCAGCCGCGGUAAUACGGAGGAUCCGAGCGUUAUCCGGAUUUAUUGGGUUUAAAGGGAGCGUAGAUGGAUAUUUAAGUCAGUUGUGAAAGUUUGCGGCUCAACCGUAAAAUUGCAGUUGAUACUGGAUAUCUUGAGUGCAGUUGAGGCAGGCGGAAUUCGUGGUGUAGCGGUGAAAUGCUUAGAUAUCACGAAGAACUCCGAUUGCGAAGGCAGCCUGCUAAGCUGCAACUGACAUUGAGGCUCGAAAGUGUGGGUAUCAAACAGGAUUAGAUACCCUGGUAGUCCACACGGUAAACGAUGAAUACUCGCUGUUUGCGAUAUACUGCAAGCGGCCAAGCGAAAGCGUUAAGUAUUCCACCUGGGGAGUACGCCGGCAACGGUGAAACUCAAAGGAAUUGACGGGGGCCCGCACAAGCGGAGGAACAUGUGGUUUAAUUCGAUGAUACGCGAGGAACCUUACCCGGGCUUAAAUUGCAGAUGAAUUACGGUGAAAGCCGUAAGCCGCAAGGCAUCUGUGAAGGUGCUGCAUGGUUGUCGUCAGCUCGUGCCGUGAGGUGUCGGCUUAAGUGCCAUAACGAGCGCAACCCUUGUUGUCAGUUACUAACAGGUUCCGCUGAGGACUCUGACAAGACUGCCAUCGUAAGAUGUGAGGAAGGUGGGGAUGACGUCAAAUCAGCACGGCCCUUACGUCCGGGGCUACACACGUGUUACAAUGGGGGGUACAGAGGGCCGCUACCACGCGAGUGGAUGCCAAUCCCCAAAACCUCUCUCAGUUCGGACUGGAGUCUGCAACCCGACUCCACGAAGCUGGAUUCGCUAGUAAUCGCGCAUCAGCCACGGCGCGGUGAAUACGUUCCCG
rnacentral:rRNA from 1 species